UACGUAGGUUGCAAGCGUUAAUCCGAAUUAUUGGGCGUAAAGAGCUCGUAGGCGGUCUGUCGCGCCGGAUGUGAAAGCCCGGGGCUUAACCCCGGGUCUGCAUUCGAUACGGGCAGACUAGAGUGUGGUAGGGGAGAUCGGAAUUCCUGGUGUAGCGGUGAAAUGCGCAGAUAUCAGGAGGAACACCGGUGGCGAAGGCGGAUCUCUGGGCCAUUACUGACGCUGAGGAGCGAAAGCGUGGGGAGCGAACAGG
rnacentral:misc_RNA from 1 species